UUGAAAAGAGAAUAAUGAACUCAUAUAAUUCUGGUAAUAUGGUCCAGAAGUUUCUACCAGACAACCGUAAAUUGUCUGACUAUGAGUGAAAGCGCACCUAGG
rnacentral:ncRNA from 2 species